rnacentral:tRNA from 1 species
GGGGCGGCCGCGCCGCCGGGGCGGCGGCGCUCACGGCGCGGCCUGGGCCACCGCCGGGCCGGCCCGGUCCCGGCCCGGGUCGCCCGG